UACGUAGGGUGCAAGCGUUGUCCGGAAUUAUUGGGCGUAAAGAGCUCGUAGGCGGUGUGUCGCGUCUGCCGUGAAAACCUGCGGCUUAACCGUGGGCGUGCGGUGGAUACGGGCACACUUGAGUUCGGUAGGGGAGACUGGAAUUCCUGGUGUAGCGGUGGAAUGCGCAGAUAUCAGGAGGAACACCAGUGGCGAAGGCGGGUCUCUGGGCCGAAACUGACGCUGAGGAGCGAAAGCGUGGGGAGCGAAC
rnacentral:rRNA from 1 species